AUAACAUCUGAAUAUUCUAUCUCAUGAAGAAAAAGUAGAGACGAUUGUAGAUGAAAAUGAAGAGAGAUUUUAUCUUGGUUUUUAUUUUAUGCAAAAUAUUUUAGUCUUGUCUUUUUUUGUCAACAAUAAUGCAUGUUAAUUUAGUCUUAGUCAGCGUUUUUGGACAUUGGUGCAGUCUGGUCAUCAUCACGUCUUCAUCAUGGAAAAAAAGGUUGUUGACAAACAUAUUUAGUCUUGUCUGACGAAAUUAACACU